GACGAACGCUGGCGGCGUGCUUAACACAUGCAAGUCGAACGGAAAGGCCCUGCUUUUGUGGGGUGCUCGAGUGGCGAACGGGUGAGUAACACGUGAGUAACCUGCCCUUGACUUUGGGAUAACUUCAGGAAACUGGGGCUAAUACCGGAUAGGAGCUCCUGCUGCAUGGUGGGGGUUGGAAAGUUUCGGCGGUUGGGGAUGGACUCGCGGCUUAUCAGCUUGUUGGUGGGGUAGUGGCUUACCAAGGCUUUGACGGGUAGCCGGCCUGAGAGGGUGACCGGCCACAUUGGGGCUGCGAUACGGCCCAGACUCCUACGGGAGGCAGCAGUGGGGAAUAUUGCACAAUGGGCGGAAGCCUGAUGCAGCAACGCCGCGUGCGGGAUGACGGCCUUCGGGUUGUAAACCGCUUUCGCCUGUGACGAAGCGUGAGUGACGGUAAUGGGUAAAGAAGCACCGGCUAACUACGUG
rnacentral:rRNA from 1 species